UGAACGCUAGCGGCAGGCUUAAUACAUGCAAGUUGAGGGGCAGCAUGAUAUACGCGAGUAUAUUGAUGGCGACCGGCGGACGGGUGAGUAAUAGGUAGGAGACCUACCUCAUACAGGGGGAUAGCAUAGAGAAAUCUGUGGUAAUACCCCAUGAGGUUAUAUGAAUAGAGGCAUAUAAUCAAAGCAUAAGCGAUUAUGCGGUAUGAGAGGGGCCUACUGACCAUUAGCUAGUUGGUGAGGUAAGGGCUCACCAAGGCGAAGAUGGUUAGGGGUUUUGAGAGAGAGACCCCCCACAUUGGAACUGAGAGACGGUCCAGACUCCUACGGGAGGCAGCAGUAGGGAAUAUUGGGCAAUGGGCGAAAGCCUGACCCAGCCAUGCCGCGUGAAGGAAGACGGCCUUAUGGGUUGUAAACUUCUUUACUACGCGACUAACUAGAUUUACGAGAUAAUUCUAUAGAAUGUAGCAUAGCAAAAAGCACCGGCUAACUCCGUG
rnacentral:rRNA from 1 species